CAACCUGCCGACAACACUGGGAUAGCCUUUCGAAAGAAAGAUUAAUACCGGAUGGCAUAGUCUCCCCGCAUGGGAUGAUUAUUAAAGAAUUUCGGUUGUCGAUGGGGAUGCGUUCCAUUAGGCAGUUGGCGGGGUAACGGCCCACCAAACCUACGAUGGAUAGGGGUUCUGAGAGGAAGGUCCCCCACAUUGGAACUGAGACACGGUCCAAACUCCUACGGGAGGCAGCAGUGAGGAAUAUUGGUCAAUGGACGAGAGUCUGAACCAGCCAAGUAGCGUGAAGGAUGACUGCCCUAUGGGUUGUAAACUUCUUUUAUACGGGAAUAAAGUUAGCCACGUGUGGCUUUUUGUAUGUACCGUAUGAAUAAGGAUCGGCUAACUCCGUGCCAGCAGCCGCGGUAAUACGGAGGAUCCGAGCGUUAUCCGGAUUUAUUGGGUUUAAAGGGAGCGUAGGCGGGUUGUUAAGUCAGUUGUGAAAGUUUGCGGCUCAACCGUAAAAUUGCAGUUGAUACUGGCGACCUUGAGUGCAGCAGAGGUAGGCGGAAUUCGUGGUGUAGCGGUGAAAUGCUUAGAUAUCACGAAGAACUCCGAUUG
rnacentral:rRNA from 1 species